rnacentral:lncRNA from 10 species
UGAGCCUCGGCUGAUCCUGGAAGCCAACCAGUGCCUGGAACAUGGACACUUUGCGUUUCAUCCAUAUUAGUGCCUGGAACAUGGACACGAGGUUCAAGGUUCAUGAGGAAACCUGGAAGGAAGGGAGGUGAGCAGCCAGAUUCAGGCCCCAAACCUCCCUGGAGUCCCAACAAGAAGCCAGGGCAGCAGUAAUUCAGUGAAGAUGCUGAAUAUGCCGUUCUCAAGGUCACACUCCCCCCAUAUCCUGUACAUUCUGUGAAAUUCUGCCCACAAGGCAGUGGAUUAAGGUGGAAAGGAAAGGCUAAGAGAUAGGAGACCUACAAUUCCAUCUCUGCUCCUAAAGAAAUCCUUCCUCCUCUGCGGCCUCAGUUUCCUCAAUGUAGAAUGAGACUCCUCACUUGAAGCAACUUUAUGGCCAGAAUUUAGUUUGAUACUUACAACCUUGUGUGCAGGAGAGAAGCCGACAUGAUCCCAGGCGUUGGGAUUUAAGGGUGGAGUGGUGGAGUUAGGAGAGGAAACUCACAUGUGUGAACCAACUGGCGAAAAAUGCAAGAGAGAGUUUGAUUGAAUGCCUGAGUUAGUGGAUCAGACCAGCAGUGCCUGGCUUGUGGGCUGGAGCUCUUGCAAGAGAUCUGUACAUCCAUAUGCCCUACAAGCAUCGACCGAAGGCUGAAUAAAUAAUACAACUUGCACGUAUAUGUGGGACUAUUUUUCAAAUCAUCAAUGCUGCUGUCACAAAUAAAAUGCAGAUUCAUUUGAAAGUGGUCCUGAAUGCAGACUCCCUUUGGGUUGCUAUGCAUUUUCUCAAGCAGCAGACCUUAUAAAGACAAUUGUUGUUUACAGGGACAUAAAACAAUAUCUGGCCUUUUAUUUAAAAUACUCGAGGGAAAAAAGGCAGGGGUGGAUGAAACUGGAAGGAGAGAAUGUUAAUAAUUAUUGAAGCUGGAUGAUGAGUAUUUGGGGGAUUAUUAUACUCUUGUCUCAACUUUUGUAUGUUUGACAUUUUCCAUAAUAAAAUGUUUCUUUAAAAG